rnacentral:rRNA from 1 species
AACGAACGCUGGCGGCAUGCCUAACACAUGCAAGUCGAACGAGACCUUCGGGUCUUGUGGCGCACGGGUGCGUAACGCGUGGGAACCUGCCCUUAGGUUCGGAAUAACUCCUCGAAAGGGGUGCUAAUACCGGAUAAUGUCUUCGGACCAAAGAUUUAUCGCCUCGGGAUGGGUGCGCUUUGGAUUAGCGAGUUGGUCGGGUAAAAGCCUACCAAGGUGACGUUCCAUAGCUGGUCUGGGAGGAUGGUCAGGCACACUGGGACUGGGACACGGCCCGGACUCCUACGGGAAGCAGCAGUGGGGAAUAUUGGACAAUGGGCGAAAGCCUGAUCCAGCAAUGCCGCGUGAGUGAUGAAGGCCUUAGGGUUGUAAAGCUCUUUUACCCGGGAUGAUAAUGACAGUACCGGGAGAAUAAGCUCCGGCUAACUCCGUG